UCCAGCACCGAAGGCAUCAGCUGCAAUCAUCAGAACGUGAUCAUCACUGAAACUAGUCUCCUCCAGGCCUCGGCUCUCCAUGGGGCCACGCUGGGCUGUGAGCAGGGCGUCCAUCAGGUCCCGUGUCUCAGACAUACAUUCAAUCCAGGAUACCUUAAGCCACGGGAAAAUGUCCACUAGGCUUCCUCUGGCGAUGGUUUCCACAAUGCCGCUGGUGUAGUCCAUCACGCUCUGGAGCUCGCUGUCCCCCGGCUGGUAUUUGGAGUUGAAGACGAGGGCGCACACCACGUUGGUGACGGCUUGGGACAGGCCUAGUCCCGGGUCCAGCGGGGUUUCAAGAUUAUCCAUCAAAAAGGAGCACAGGCUGGAGGCUUCCUGACAAACUAGAUGGUUGACGAACAGACGGACGGAAGUACAGAUAGAGAAGCACCACCGUAUAUCCUCCCAUUCUGAUACAAGUGAUUUGUUGAAAAGAAUGCACCAGAACUCUCACCGAUGGUCUCAAGUUUGCUGGUGC